AUCUAAAUAGUUUAUUUAAGAAUAAUAAUUUGUGGUGUUAUAGGUGUUAUUGACUUUAGAUU
rnacentral:tRNA from 1 species